rnacentral:rRNA from 1 species
CAGCAGCCACGGUAACACGUAGGGUGCAAGCGUUGUCCGGAAUUAUUGGGCGUAAAGAGCUCGUAGGCGGUUUGUCGCGUCUGCUGUGAAAUCCCGAGGCUCAACCUCGGGCUUGCAGUGGGUACGGGCAGACUAGAGUGCGGUAGGGGAGAUUGGAAUUCCUGGUGUAGCGGUGGAAUGCGCAGAUAUCAGGAGGAACACCGAUGGCGAAGGCAGAUCUCUGGGCCGUAACUGACGCUGAGGAGCGAAAGCGUGGGGAGCGAACAGGAUUAGAGACCCCAGUAGUCCCUGUCUCUUAUAC